UACGUAGGGUGCGAGCGUUGCCCGGAUUUAUUGGGCGUAAAGGGCGCGUAGGCGGUGAGAUGCGUCUGUUGUGAAAUCGCUCGGCUCAACUGGGCGGGGUCAGCGGAUACGGUCUCACUUGAGCAAGCUAGGGGCAAUGGAAUUCCCGGUGUAGUGGUGGAAUGCGUAGAUAUCGGGAGGAACACCAGUGGCGAAGGCGGUUGCCUGGGCU
rnacentral:rRNA from 1 species